UACGUAGGGGGCAAGCGUUGUCCGGAUUUAUUGGGCGUAAAGAGCGUGUAGGCGGUUUGGUAGGUCCGCUGUGAAAACUCGAGGCUCAACCUCGAGACGCCGGUGGAAACCAUCAGACUAGAGUCCGGAAGAGGAGAGUGGAAUUCCUGGUGUAGCGGUGAAAUGCGCAGAUAUCAGGAAGAACACCCGGGGCUAAGGCGGCUCUCUAGUACGGUACUGACGCUGAGACGCGAAAGCGUGGGGAGCGAACAGG
rnacentral:rRNA from 1 species